rnacentral:rRNA from 1 species
UACGUAGGGGGCAAGCGUUGUCCGGAAUCAUUGGGCGUAAAGCGCGCGUAGGCGGCCCGGUAAGUCCGCUGUAAAAGUCAAAGGCUCAACCUUUGAAUGUCAGUGGAUACUGCCGGGCUAGAGUCCGGAAGAGGAGAGUGGAAUUCCUGGUGUAGCGGUGAAAUGCGCAGAUAUCAGGAGGAACACCGGUGGCGAAGGCGGUUCUCUGGGCCUGUACUGACGCUGAGGAACGAAAGCGUGGGGAGCGAACAGG